AAGAUGUGUGUGCACAUUCAGCCUCUUGAGUCAUUACAUGCCAGCUCCAGCUCACCAAUGAAUAUCCCACCAUCUUUAAAACAGUGCAGCAGAAAGUGAGAUCUGUUGAAAAAGAAGAAUUUCCUUGAACAUGGUGAGGCACGAGAAAGUCUUCCCAGAUUUUGAAUCUUGAUGAAGGAUAUUUUGGACUAAGAAAAUAACAGGGGAAUAAGACUGAAAAGUACAUAAUCCUGUUAUGAAAUGGUGAUGAGCCUGGUAAAUUACUGAUCUAAGAGUUAUAGUAGGAAGUGACACUGGAGGAGGGGGUCAUGUUUUUCAGAGCCUCAAAUGCAAUACUCUGUUGAUAAAAUCUGACUUUUCAUGAAUUGUAAAGCAAAAACAAAAAAUAAAAUAGUGAGCAGAGGAUCACUGAUA